rnacentral:rRNA from 1 species
UAUUCCGGAUAACGCAUAUUUGCUGGAAUGCUUUAUGCGUCAAAAGGAUUCGUCUGCCCAAGGAUGGGUCUGCGGCCUAUCAGGUAGUAGUGGGUGUAAUGUACCUACUAGCCAGCGACGGGUACGGGUUGUGAGAGCAAGAGCCCGGAGAUGGAUUCUGAGACAUGAAUCCAGGCCCUACGGGGCGCAGCAGGCGCGAAAACUUUACAAUGCGGGAAACCGUGAUAAGGGGACACCGAGUGCCAGCAUCAUAUGCUGGCUGUCCGGAUGUGUAAAAUACAUCCGUUAGCAAGGGCCGGGCAAGACCGGUGCCAGCCGCCGCGGUAACACCGGCGGCCCGAGUGGUGAUCGUGAUUAUUGGGUCUAAAGGGUCCGUAGCCGGUUUGGUCAGUCCUCCGGGAAAUCUGAUAGCUCAACUAUUAGGCUUUCGGGGGAUACUGCCAGACUUGGAACCGGGAGAGGUAAGAGGUACUACAGGGGUAGGAGUGAAAUCUUGUAAUCCCUGUGGGACCACCUGUGGCGAAGGCGUCUUACCAGAACGGGUUCGACGGUGAGGGACGAAAGCUGGGGGCACGAACCGGAUUAGAUACCCGGGUAGUCCCAGCCGUAAACGAUGCUCGCUAGGUGUCAGGCAUGGCGCGACCGUGUCUGGUGCCGCAGGGAAGCCGUGAAGCGAGCCACCUGGGAAGUACGGCCGCAAGGCUGAAACUUAAAGGAAUUGGCGGGGGAGCACAACAACGGGUGGAGCCUGCGGUUUAAUUGGACUCAACGCCGGACAACUCACCGGGGGCGACAGCAAUAUGUAGGCCAAGCUGAAGACUUUGCCUGAAUCGCUGAGAGGAGGUGCAUGGCCGUCGCCAGUUCGUACUGUGAAGCAUCCUGUUAAGUCAGGCAACGAGCGAGACCCGUGCCCACUGUUACCAGCAUGUCCUCCGGGACGAUGGGUACUCUGUGGGGACCGCCGAUGUUAAAUCGGAGGAAGGUGCGGGCCACGGUAGGUCAGUAUGCCCCGAAUCUCCCGGGCUACACGCGGGCUACAAUGGAUGGGACAAUGGGUCCCUCCCCUGAAAAGGGCUGGUAAUCUCACAAACCCAUUCGUAGUUCGGAUCGAGGGCUGUAACUCGCCCUCGUGAAGCUGGAAUCC